AUGAACGCUGGCGGCGUGCCUAAUACAUGCAAGUCGAGCGAACAGACGAGGAGCUUGCUCCUCUGACGUUAGCGGCGGACGGGUGAGUAACACGUGGAUAACCUACCUAUAAGACUGGGAUAACUUCGGGAAACCGGAGCUAAUACCGGAUAAUAUAUUGAACCGCAUGGUUCAAUAGUGAAAGACGGUUUUGCUGUCACUUAUAGAUGGAUCCGCGCCGCAUUAGCUAGUUGGUAAGGUAACGGCUUACCAAGGCAACGAUGCGUAGCCGACCUGAGAGGGUGAACGGCCACACUGGAACUGAGACAAGGUCCAGACUCCUACGGGAGGCAGCAGUAGGGAAUCUUCCGCAAAGGGCGAAAGCCUGAAGGAGCAACGCCGCGUGAGUGAUGAAGGUCUUCGGAUCGUAAAGCUCUGUUAUUAGGGAAGAACAAAUGUGUAAGUAACUAUGCAAGUCUUGACGGUACCUAAUCAGAAAGCCACGGCUAACUACGUG
rnacentral:rRNA from 1 species